GACGAACGCUGGCGGCGUGCUUAACACAUGCAAGUCGAGCGGUAAGGCCCUUUCGGGGGUACACGAGCGGCGAACGGGUGAGUAACACGUGGGUGACCUGCCCUCAGCUCUGGGAUAAGCCUGGGAAACUGGGUCUAAUACUGGAUAUGACUCCACGGUGCAUGUCGUGGGGUGGAAAGCCUUGUGCGGCUGAGGAUGGGCCCGCGGCCUAUCAGCUUGUUGGUGGGGUGANGGCCUACCAAGGCGACGACGGGUAGCCGGCCUGAGAGGGCGACCGGCCACACUGGGACUGAGACACGGCCCAGACUCCUACGGGAGGCAGCAGUGGGGAAUCUUGCGCAAUGGGCGAAAGCCUGACGCAGCGACGCCGCGUGAGGGAUGACGGCCUGGUGUAACU
rnacentral:rRNA from 1 species